ensembl:lncRNA
UGGGUUUCACAGGUAGCCCAAAUGGACCUGAGUGUUGAGACCAAAAAAAGGCAGAGCACUGCAUAUUUUGCUUAUAUUAAUUGCUCUUAUCCAGCAAAUACAGACCAAAAACAAUAUUUUAUACACCUUCUGUUAACACCAGGAAUUGUGCAUAAGAGCACUUGAAAAUACACGUAUGUGACCCAGUUCUGUCCACAGCCUUUCACAUUUGCCUUUAAUCUAUGUAGUGUGUGUGUCAGUGUAAAGGCCAGUGUUUGCCGUGUGUUUUACACACUGUGUGCCCUGUCAGAAAAGGGGGCCCCUCUGCGUGGGCUUGACAUUUCAGCAGCCUGCCGUUGGCCCCUCCUGCGAUCUUUGCACACACAUGUGCUCACAACUUCCCACGAUGCCUCUCUUCGUUCCCGCCCACCAGGGACGCGCUCCGGUCUCAUUUACCCAUGAACCCCGGUGUUCCUUCCCCCAUCCCGCCACGUCUUGCCACGGACGAUUGUAUUUUUGAUGUCCAGAGGGGCAGUGCUCCGAUUUAUCAUCUUUUAAUAUGACAUCUCACAUUUAUCACUCGGGUGUUAGAACACGCAACAGCCAUCGAAAAUGAGCUUCAUUAGCUGAAUAUUGUGGCUGUAAGUAUGCCGGCUAAUUAAAUUCAAACAGACUCCGCCGACCAGAGAGGCAAUUAUAUUAUAUGCACACAACAUGAUGAAGUAUUCCUUGCUCUGUUAAAGAGGCAGUGCAGCAUGCUAAUAUUUGUGUGUCGCUGACCCCUCCAGCGGUCUGACGGAGCUGGUCUGGUCAUCACAGUCUGCUUGAUUGUGUUAAUUUGGCUUUUUGAAUAAUAUAUCAGGCCUAUAUCACAGCCUACUUUUGCAAUUAAGUACCGCCGGAGCCCUGACGAUUACAGCCUGUGAUGAGAACAGCUUACUGUGCAUUUUUUUUUUUUUUUAAAGUCUCAUUGUUUAAUCUCAUCUUCAAGGCACUUUGGGGAUGCAGUUUUGACAGGCGCUUAAUGGCUUUUCCACAGCGGAGGGCCCCAGGAAUGUGCAGGCUGGGCUCUGGGUAA